CAUCGAGAGGAGAAAACGGAAAUGCAACAAUAUCUUUGCAGUUGAUGAUUGGAUGAAUAUAGUCAAGAAGGCAAGACUCAAUUCUCCCAUUUUUAAAGUCAACAAGGUAUCAAACAAUGACAUAGGAGACAUCAGAGGAACAGCAGAAUCCAACAUGAAAAAACAGCUGAAAUCAGAGGAUGGUGAUCGCCUUCAGAUCAGAAGUGUGAUGUGGUUUUCCUAUGGAGAGAGUACAGGGAUCGACUAUAUCACUCUCGAGGAGAAAGUCACAUCACAUCCUGGGGAGGUCUGGUGCAGAUACACAUUCAGCACAAUGGAACCCUGGAAGAAGAUUCCUCUGCUCAAACGGGCUGGCAGUCUGGAGAAAUCCUCUACUGUUCCAAAGACCUACUCUGGUCUCAUUGGGCUAAAGCGUGCAAAGCUGAACGAUCUGAGGAAGAUUUCUGAAAAACACAUUCCUCCUGAGUAUCGACUAUUGUACGAGUCUCUGCCAUGUGUUGAUGGAAAUAGCACUGAGGAAGAAAGUGAUUCAGAUUAGGAUGUCUUCGAAAUGUCACAGGAAAGUGAUCUUCUCCAUCUACCAGAUGAGAUUCUGCUCUAUAUUGUUAUUCUGUUGGAAGUUUCCAUUCCAUUUAUAUUUGUCUACAACAAACUCAGCUUGGUUUGUAUGAAGAUGUAUUUCCUUGUUAAUCUUCCUGAUCUUUGGAGAAAGAUUUCUCUUAGACGAUUUGGACCGAUGAAAUACACGCCUGGAGUCUUAGACAACAUCUUCGCUCAUGCCUCACACAUGAAACACCUGUAUUUUUCGGGAGAUAUUGGAACCAUCAACCAAGAUUAUAUAUGCAGGAAACUGAGCAUGUGCACUUCUCUGACGUCAUUAGAUCUUGGAUGCAAUUAUUAUUUGCAAAAACUGACUUUUUUGCCUGAUCUGGUCUACCUAAAGAGAUUUAUCCUGGACUUUUCAAACAUUCCAUCAAAUCAGUUUGCAUUCAUAUGUUGUUGAAACAUUACUCACUUGAGUUUUCAUCACUGUGAAAGUUUAAAAAUGGAUGGUUUAAAACCUAUCAUGCGAUCAUGUUUUUGUAUUUAAUACUUACACAUCAGAGGGUCAUUUUGUAUUUCUGUCAAUGACACUCAGACCAUUGUUUGGCAUCUCCGAUCUAUGCAAAUGCUUGUAGCUUCACCAUCAAUUGCGUGCAGCAAAGACGAAUUUGACACCUUUUUUUACCCUAUACCCUGGUCUUAAAGUGGAAUUGUUUGAGGCACUUGACAACUGAUUGAAUUCAGGGGUUUUAUUUGCUCAAGAGGUUCAGAUUGUACGGUUACUUUUACUCGUUUUUGUUUACAAGUUCUAUUUUCAAGAGGUCUAUGUUUACAUCCUUAGAUUUCCUAGGCCAAACAUUUCCACGAUCUGUUUUUAAUAAAAUGUUGAUUUU